rnacentral:rRNA from 1 species
UACGUAGGGCGCAAGCGUUGUCCGGAAUUAUUGGGCGUAAAGAGCUCGUAGGCGGCCUGUUACGUCUGCUGUGAAAUCCCGGGGCUUAACCCCGGGCGUGCAGUGGAUACGGGCAGGCUGGAGGCAGGCAGGGGAGAACGGAAUUCCCGGUGUAGCGGUGAAAUGCGUAGAGAUCGGAAGGAACACCAGUGGCGAAGGCGGCUACCUGGCCUAAUACUGACACUGAGGAACGAAAGCGUGGGGAGCAAACAGG